GGCGCACCCAGAAACCCUUUGUGAACUUAUACCUUACUGUUGCCUCGGCGCAUGCCGGCCCCCCUGGGGGCCCCUCCUUCUGGAGGAGCAGGCACGCCGGCGGCCAACCUAACUCUUGUUUUUACACUGAAACUCUGAGAAUAAAACAUAAAUGAAUCAAAACUUUCAACAACGGAUCUCUUGGUUCUGGCAUCGAUGAAGAACGCAGCGAAAUGCGAUAAGUAAUGUGAAUUGCAGAAUUCAGUGAAUCAUCGAAUCUUUGAACGCACAUUGCGCCCUCUGGUAUUCCGGAGGGCAUGCCUGUUCGAGCGUCAUUUCAACCCUCAAGCCUGGCUUGGUGAUGGGGCACUGCCUGUAAAAGGGCAGGCCCUGAAAUUCAGUGGCGAGCUCGCCAGGACCCCGAGCGUAGUAGUUAAACCCUCGCUCUGGAAGGCCCUGGCGGUGCCCUGCCGUUAAACCCCCAACUUCUGAAAAUUUGACCUCGGAUCAGGUAGGAAUACCCGCUGAACUUAAGCAUAUCAA
rnacentral:rRNA from 1 species